GCCGAGGUGGUGGAAUUGGCAGACACGUAGGAUUUAGAAUCCUAUACCAAUAUGGUGUGUGGGUUCAAAUCCCACCCUCGGCA
rnacentral:tRNA from 1 species